rnacentral:rRNA from 1 species
UACGUAGGGUGCAAGCGUUGUCCGGAUUUAUUGGGCGUAAAGAGCUCGUAGGCGGCUUGGCAAGUCAGGUGUGAAAACUUCAGGCUCAACCUGGAGAUGCCAUCUGAGACUGCUAUGGCUAGAGUCUGGUAGGGGAGCACGGAAUUCCUGGUGUAGCGGUGAAAUGCGCAGAUAUCAGGAGGAACACCGGUGGCGAAGGCGGGUCUCUGGGCCGUAACUGACGCUGAGGAGCGAAAGCGUGGGGAGCGAGCAGG